rnacentral:rRNA from 1 species
CCCUAUUAUGGAAUCGAAAUCACAUAACUUUAGAGCUUAACUAAGAUUUAUGGCGGCUUUUAUCCAAAUUAGAGAUUUAUGGGCAUAAAAGAGGGUCCACUUAAAUCUUACUUUUAAUAGUUAAACAUUUUUUAUAUCGCCGUUUUAAGAUACUCAACCCAAAUUUUGUCUAAACUGAAGCCAUGAGCACCCUACAAAUCAGGUAAAGAUGAAGAUAAAGUAAAAGUAAACUUGUAAAUCAUUAACUUUAAGAAUAUUAAAAUUGAAAAUUUUGAGAAAUGAAUUUAAUAGUAAAUAAAUUUUAUUAUAAUUUAUUGAAUAGUGUAUGUAAAAGUGUACACAUCGCCC